AUCGAACGCUGGCGGCAGGCCUAACACAUGCAAGUCGAGCGAGUGUCGGUCGGGUGCGUAAUGUCUGGGAAACUGCCUGCUGGCUGGGGAUACCUACUGGAAACGGUAGCUAAUACCGCAUACCAUCAUAUGUGCCCAGAUGGGAUUAGCUGGUGGGUGGGGUAAUGGCUCACCUGGGCUGCGAUCCCUAGCUGCUCUGAGAGGAUGACAGGCCACACUGGAACGGAGACACGGUCAAGCUUCCUACGGGAGGCAGCAGAGGGGAAUAUGGCAAAAUGGGCGCAAGCCUGAUGCAGCAAUGCCGCGUGUGGGAAGAAGGCCUUCGGUUUGUAAAGCCCGUUCAGCGGGGAGGCGGUACUCGCAGAAGAAGCACCGGCUAACUACGUGCCAGCAGCCGCGGUAAUAC
rnacentral:rRNA from 1 species